UACAGAGACUGCAAGCGUUAUUCGGAUUCAUUGGGCGUAAAGGGUGCGUAGGCGGCGGGGCAAGUCUGAUGUGAAAUCCCGGGGCUCAACCCCGGAACUGCAUUGGAUACUGCCUUGCUUGAGUACUGGAGAGGGAACUGGAAUUUACGGUGUAGCAGUGAAAUGCGUAGAGAUCGUAAGGAAGGCCAGUGGCGAAGGCGAGUUCCUGGACAGUUACUGACGCUGAGGCACGAAGGCCAGGGGAGCAAACGGG
rnacentral:rRNA from 1 species